CAACCUUCUCGGCCUUUUGGCUAAGAUCAAGUGUAGUAUCUGUUCUAAGACUCGUGACAAAGUCUUCCGGUCUACAAGACCGUCUUGUCAUGAUUAUUUUUACAGCCGGGGCUCUGGGCUCUGGCUUGCUAUCCCAGCGUCCGUACGUGACCUCUGUAUUGCAGUACAGCAGAGUGUCGCGGGCACCCC
rfam:Plasmodiophora brassicae isolate e3 genome assembly, contig: scaffold_21